UACAGAGGGUGCGAGCGUUAAUCGGAAUUACUGGGCGUAAAGCGUGCGUAGACGGUAAUGUAAGUCGGGUGUGAAAGCCCCGGGCUCAACCUGGGAAUUGCAUUUGAGACUGCUCUGCUCGGGUGCGGAAGAGGGAAGCGGAAUUUCCGGUGUAGCGGUGAAAUGCGUAGAUAUCGGAAGGAACACCAGUGGCGAAAGCGGCUUCCUGGUCCGACACCGACGUUCAGGCACGAAAGCGUGGGGAGCAAACAGG
rnacentral:rRNA from 1 species